rnacentral:rRNA from 1 species
UGGGGAAUAUUGCACAAUGGGCGCAAGCCUGAUGCAGCAACGCCGCGUGAGGGACGACGGCCUUCGGGUUGUAAACCUCUUUUAGUAGGGAAGAAGCGGAAGUGACGGUACCUGCAGAAAAAGCACCGGCUAACUACGUGCCAGCAGCCGCGGUAAUACGUAGGGUGCGAGCGUUGUCCGGAAUUAUUGGGCGUAAAGAGCUCGUAGGCGGUCUGUCGCGUCUGCUGUGAAAACCCGAGGCUCAACCUCGGGCCUGCAGUGGGUACGGGCAGACUAGAGUGCGGUAGGGGAGAAUGGAAUUCCUGGUGUAGCGGUGGAAUGCGCAGAUAUCAGGAGGAACACCGAUGGCGAAGGCAGUUCUCUGGGCCGUAACUGACGCUGAGGAGCGAAAGCGUGGGGAGCGAACAGGAUUAGAUACCCUGGUAGUCCACGCCGUAAACGUUGGGCGCUAGAUGUGGGGACCAUUCCACGGUUUCCGUGUCGCAGCUAACGCAUUAAGCGCCCCGCCUGGGGAGUACGGCCGCAAGGCUAAAA